rnacentral:rRNA from 1 species
UGUAAGCGUAUACCAAAGUUGUUGCAGUUAAAACGCUCGUAGUCGGACUUUGGCAGUUCCGGAUGUGUGCACGUCGUGUGCGCACUUCGCGGGGAUUGCUUUUGUGGUCUUGCGUAGGAUGAGGCACUUUUAUUAGUGAACGUCCUCACGCAACCACUUUUUACUGUGAGAAAAUCAGAGUGCCCAAAGCAGGCAUUUGCCGUGAAUGUAUUAGCAUGGAAUAAUAGAAUAGGACUUGGUUCUAUUUUGUUGGUUUGUUGGGACUGAGUAAUGAUUAAGAGGGACAGUUGGGGGCAUUUGUAUUUCGGUGCUAGAGGUGAAAUUCUUAGAUUACCGAAAGACAAACUGCUGCGAAAGCGUCUGCCAAGGAUGUUUUCAUUGA